UUUGGAUUGAGUUGAGAGCCACUUCACUUUUCAAUCUGUGGUCCAGUACAUAAACUUAGAAGUUGUUUGCUAAGUUUGCACAGAGACUGACUCAGCUCUUUGCUGAGUGUGAGGGGACUGCAAAGCUCUUUUAAGGCUCCUUAGAUAAUUCACCUUGGGGAUGAAAAGACCUUAGAGGACUUGACUCCAGCCUCUCUUAUUCUGGCAGCUCGGAACUUUAUAUAAGAAACAGAAUAGAAAGCUAAACUUUCGAGAGAACUCCCAGUAAGCACAACUAAAUUCUCAUUGAAACCUUAGUGAAUUCAUCACCAUUAAGUAAAGAGAAAGAGGAUAGGAUUAUUUCUUAUUAAUCAAAAAUUAAACAAAGGCAUUGAUGUACUUGUCUGAUGAAGUUUUACUCUUAAAACAUUUGGAAAAGGAGUCAUUUGUGAGCAAUAACUCCCCUGAGGUUGCAGAUAUAGGCUUUUUCUCAAUUGGGGGGUUUUCCCCCUAAAACUUGAUGCCAAUUCCUUUUAAGUAUUUCUUACAUUUAUACUUUCUCCACUUCUGAUUAUGUUACUGGUUAUCUGCUUUUCUAGUUAAUUUUAAAUUUAUUUUCUGAAAAGAACACAAUAAAUAGGAGAAUACAUCUGAAACCUUAUAUUUUUUUCUUCACUCAUAAUUUUUGAAAUGUGUUUAUGUUCAAUUACACAUGGAUUUUGGUUGCUCUUAAUAUAAAAUUAAAACUCCUUGGCAUGGCCUCUAAAAUUCUGACACAGUUUCGUCCUAUCCUUCUGCAUCCCAUCUCUCAGGCUGCUUGCCCAUGGCCUUCCCACUGUACUCAUACCAGCUUUUUUCCAGUCCAAUGCACUUUGUCCAACUUCCUCUGCCUGGGUUUUCCUAUGCUCUGUCUCCCUUUCCUAUGCUGUCCUCUUUCUUUGCAACUGAAGACUCUCUUCUUAUCUCCCUGAUGAAACCAAAUCCCAUCGGUGUGUUCUAAAUCACAGUCAUUCUUUUUUUGCAGCACUUAUCAUAGCCACAAUGUUAUGUUUGUCAUUAUAUAAAUAACUUCUAUCCAUUCACCCACCCCCAACUAAGCUCUUAUCUCCUUUGGGAUAGAGACCAGGCCUGUUCAGUUUACCUUUCCACACCUUGGUGUGAGUAGGCAUAGAAUUAAUAAUUUUGGGAAUGAAUGAGGGGAUGACUAGAGUUCCGUAAUUAUCACAUAAAACAGAUGAAGGCAUAUCUUCCACUGCUUGAAGUUAGCUUUAAGAGGUGUUUAUGGACCACAUAGAAUUCUUUUCAGAAUUCACUUCAGUGAUCUCACAUCCAGAAAUAUAACUUUUUGAAACUGGCAUGCUGGCUCAGAGUCAUAACACUCCUGUUGGGAAAUCUGCUUCUAAUAACCCACUUUAAAUCAACCAAGGGAAGGGAGUGAUAGUACUAUAAAAAUCAAUGUCAAGAAAUAAAAUAUGACCCCUGUCCCUAAAACAGCUUAUUUUUUCUGAACAUUCAUUUGCGAUUUACUGUUUAUUGAUUUAUGAAAGUCAUGGAUUUUUUUCAGUGGCACAUGGACACCCAAGAACUUAAGGAGGUCAGAGAAAAUCUCAAAAGAAUAUGCAAAAUUUGUCCAGAUUUUUUAUCCGUGAUUGAACUUGAACCCCUGAGUUUGGUGAAAUUCCAAUAUAACUGUCUGGGAGAUCAUCAGAAACUAAUAGUCUUUGAGGAUGCAGGUGUAAUGAAGAGAGAUUGGAGAGAUUAAAGCUCUAUGCAGUGGACUUGAUAUUGUGAUUAAGGAUUAUAGACUAAAAAUUGUGAUAAAUUUACAAAAACAGACGGCCCUUAUUAAAGGGGGAAAGAAAAAAAAACACGCACACCCUAAGGCCCCGCUGGGAUUCGAACCCAGGAUCUCCUGUUUACGAGACAGGCGCUUUAGCCAACUAAGCCACAGAGCCAGCCGUGCUGAUUCUGUGGCUUCUUUUAUGACCGAAUUGCACUUAAUUAGG
rnacentral:tRNA from 10 species